ACCGCGGUAGCCCAGUAGGUUAGGGCGUCGGCAGUACUGAUGUUAAAGGUCGCAGGUUCAAAUCCUGCCUGCGAUG